GAGCUGCCUCCACUGUAUGUCCUUGAGUGUGGCCAAGUGUUCUUAACUCCCCUCACCAUGCACACAUGAUCACAACUGUUUCCCCCAGGAAGCAAUAAGAGAAAUAGAUCUCCACGCACAUAAAACCAUUUAUCCCACAUGUGGAACUGGCCUUCUCUGCUGCAAUGACAAACUGCAAUGAUCUACAAUGAGAAAAUCCUAGUUACAUUUCAGUGAACUGAAGCCAAACGUCUUUGAGUAAUGAAACAAGGAGCAGAAGGGUGGAUAUGGAGAAAAAGUAUAGCAACUCAUAUAACGAUGUGACUCUUCAGCUUAAAGUUUACAAUCUGGUCAAAGAGAUGGACUCCACAUGAGGUGCUCGUAUCAACCUAAAGAAAAGGGUAUUUUGUAGAACUUGACAUGGCAAUUCUAAAAUGAACAUCAAAGAACGCAAGAAUAACCAAGGCAUUUUUUAAGAAGAAGAGGAAGAUACCAGAUAUUAGGGCUUAUUACUAAGACAUGUAGCACCCAUCAUUAAUUCCACCUUCUGAGCACCACGAGCACACUCCAUAUAGAUCUGAUCAGGGAAGGAGGAGGAAUAAAGGACCCCCUGAGAUGGAGUCCUGGAAUUGGAGAGGUCUGAGAAUCUAAAAGAAAGACAAAACUAUCUCAAGGUAAUAAACUUGCCUGUACUUCAAGCAACUAAAAAAUACGAGAACUAAAUUCAAUACGGUCUCCAUUUCACAAAAACAACACGUGGCCAUAGCUAUACUUUCCUCUGGCAUUCGAGGAUGUGGGAAAUUUCUCUUGUGUUUGUUGAUCAGAGCUGGCAGUUGGAGAAGAAUUCUCUCAAUGGUGGAUAAGGGUUAAAUAAUCCUGGUUGCCGGAGUUUCUGAUUAUUGCACACGGAAGUUCUGCUUUACCUUCAACCACAGUUUUGCCUUCACUGGCCGUCUUAAUUACAUAUUCAAAGUAAGAUGAGCAACACUGAGGUUGGGCCUCACUUAGCUAAUGAGAUUGGACUGAAUCAUGGCCCAGGCACCUCAACUUUCCCUUUUCCAACGAGAUGCAGUAGUAACAGGGCUGUCACUGUGGGUGCUGGGACGAAGGAUGAUCCCUAAGAGAGCUCUCUGGAUCCCUAAAACAGCCACAUCUACACGCAUUUGAAGAAGCUUGCAUUCUUUGAUCUCAUUUGUUUACACUUCUCAGUGGGAUUUGAUUUGAAGGAAAAAGUUCUGCUGCUUCAAAUUUUUUAAAUGUUCUUCAAAACAUUCUGGGCCAAAAUGUGGCAUAUCAUUAAUACUUACGUAACUUUUUUUUUUUAACCUGAAUCUUCUUUCAGUACAUAUGACUCUUC